AUCUUCAGUAGUUCACCAGAAUGAUGAUAACUGAGUGUUUCAGAAACACGUGAGAUGUGUUAUUCUCAAACCUUGUUAUGACGUCAGCACUACCCAUCUAACG
ensembl:snoRNA